rnacentral:rRNA from 1 species
CACCGCGGUUAUACGAGAGGCCCAAGUUGAUAGACACCGGCGUAAAGGGUGGUUAGGAUAAAAUUAAAGACUAAAGCCGAACACCUUCAAGGCUGUUAUACGCACCCGAAAGUAAGAAGCUCAAUCACGAAAGUGGCUUUACUCCUUCCGAAUCCACGAAAACUAGGACA